GGGAAACUUCAAGAGAUACACGAAAAGUGGUUUUGCCAAUUAGGUUGUCCAACAGAUAGGAGAAAAGACUCGGUGCCUGACCAGCUCCACUUGAGCAGCUUUUGGGCACUCUACCUUUUAUCUGGUGCUGUCACUGUCCUUGCUCUGUUAAUCUUUCUACUCAAAAGUAUUCGCCAAUAUAUACGAUACAAAAGGAAUCAUACGGACCUUUCUUCUCCCUCGAACACCAGAUGUUCACAUGUGAUCUACAGUUUC
rnacentral:misc_RNA from 1 species